CCUCGAGAUGAUGGCUCUUCUAGC
rnacentral:siRNA from 1 species